CCUACGGGAGGCUGCAGUGGGGAAUAUUGGGCAAUGGGCGCAAGCCUGACCCAGCAACGCCGCGUGAAGGAAGAAGGCCCUCGGGUUGUAAACUUCUUUUAACAGGGACGAAGAAAGUGACGGUACAUGUUGAAUAAGCCACGGCUAACUACGUGCCAGCAGCCGCGGUAAUACGUAGGUGGCAAGCGUUAUCCGGAUUUACUGGGUGUAAAGGGCGUGUAGGCGGGAGAGCAAGUCAGAUGUGAAAUUCCAGGGCUCAACCCUGGAACUGCGUUUGAAACUGUGCUUCUUGAGGGAUGGAGAGGAAGGCGGAAUUCCGUGUGUAGCGGUGAAAUGCGUAGAGAUACGGAGGAACACCAGUGGCGAAGGCGGCCUGCUGGACAUUAACUGACGCUGAGGCUCGAAAGCGUGGGGAGCAAACAGGAUUAGAUACCCCUGUAGUC
rnacentral:rRNA from 1 species